AAGGCCUUAGUUUAAUUAAAACAUUUGAUUUGCAAUUAUAAAAUGCAAGAUAAACUCUUGUAGGUCUUA
rnacentral:tRNA from 1 species